CGACAUGAGAUUCGUAGGACAGCAAACGGCAUUCUAUUAGCCACGUUACCAUAAUUUGUAAUGAGCCGUUCUCACUUUGCUCGAUGAUUUGAUACAGAUCGCAUCGUGAAUAAUUCGACGCUACAGAAUUUCCAUUCGAUAAGACGGAAGAUGACACAGGUGCAAAUAAUUGCGAGCCGAGCAUAGCCGUGUCUAUCGAGGUAACAAUCGAAAACAAUUGAAUAUCACGAGAAAUAGAAAAGCAAGACAAAUUUUAAUGAACAAAAACAUCUGUACACAAAUAUAAAACGUUGGAAAUUAA